rnacentral:rRNA from 1 species
AUUGAACGCUGGCGGCAUGCUUUACACAUGCAAGUCGAACGGUAACAGGCCUUCGGGUGCUGACGAGUGGCGUACGGGUGAGUAAUGCAUCGGAACGUACCCAGAGGUGGGGGAUAACGCAGCGAAAGCUGUGCUAAUACCGCAUGUGAUCUGAGGAUGAAAGCGGGGGACCGAGCAGCAAUGUUUGGCCUCGCGCCUUUGGAGCGGCCGAUGUCGGAUUAGCUAGUUGGUGGGGUAAAGGCCUACCAAGGCGACGAUCCGUAGCUGGUCUGAGAGGACGACCAGCCACACUGGGACUGAGACACGGCCCAGACUCCUACGGGAGGCAGCAGUGGGGAAUUUUGGACAAUGGGCGCAAGCCUGAUCCAGCAAUGCCGCGUGCAGGAAGAAGGCCUUCGGGUUGUAAACCGCUUUUGGCAGGAACGAAACGGUGUCCGCUAAUACCGGGCGCUAAUGACGGUACCUGCAGAAUAAGCACCGGCUAACUACGUG